rnacentral:rRNA from 1 species
GAUGAACGCUGGCGGCGUGCCUAAUACAUGCAAGUCGAGCGAACAGACGAGGAGCUUGCUCCUCUGACGUUAGCGGCGGACGGGUGAGUAACACGUGGAUAACCUACCUAUAAGACUGGGAUAACUUCGGGAAACCGGAGCUAAUACCGGAUAACAUGUUGAACCGCAUGGUUCAACAGUGAAAGACGGUUUUGCUGUCACUUAUAGAUGGAUCCGCGUCGCAUUAGCUAUUUGGUAAGGUAACGGCUUACCAAGGCAACGAUGCGUAGCCGACCUGAGAGGGUGAUCGGCCACACUGGAACUGAGACACGGUCCAGACUCCUACGGGAGGCAGCAGUAGGGAAUCUUCCGCAAUGGGCGAAAGCCUGACGGAGCAACGCCGCGUGAGUGAAGAAGGUCUUCGGAUCGUAAAACUCUGUUAUUAGGGAAGAACAAAUGUGUAAGUAACUAUGCACGUCUUGACGGUACCUAAUCAGAAAGCCACGGCUAACUACGUG